rnacentral:rRNA from 1 species
AUUGAACGCUGGCGGCAGGCCUAACACAUGCAAGUCGAGCGGAGCGGCGGACGGGCGAGUAAUGCCUAGGAAUCGGCCUGGCAGUGGGGGAUAACGUCCUGAAACGGGCGCUAAUAACGCAUAUUCUCAGAGGAGCAAAGGUCGGAUUAGCUAGUUGGUGGGUGAAAGGCCUACCAAGGCGACGAUCCGUAACUGGUCUGAGAGGAUGAUCAGUCACACUGGAACUGAGACACGGUCCAGACUCCUACGGGAGGCAGCAGUGGGGAAUAUUGGACAAUGGGCGAAAGCCUGAUCCAGCCAUGCCGCGUGUGUGAAGAAGGUCUUCGGAUUGUAAAGCACUUUAAGUUGGGAGGCGUUACCAACAGAAUAAGCACCGGCUAACUCCGUGCCAGCAGCCGCGGUAAUAC